rnacentral:rRNA from 1 species
AGAUGGCGACCGGCGCACGGGUGAGUAACACGUAUCCAACCUGCCGAUAACUCGGGGAUAGCCUUUCGAAAGAAAGAUUAAUACCCGAUGGUAUAAUCAGACCGCAUGGUCUUGUUAUUAAAGAAUUUCGGUUAUCGAUGGGGAUGCGUUCCAUUAGGCAGUUGGUGAGGUAACGGCUCACCAAACCUUCGAUGGAUAGGGGUUCUGAGAGGAAGGUCCCCCACAUUGGUACUGAGACACGGACCAA